rnacentral:rRNA from 1 species
ACACAUGCAAGUCGAACGGAGUUCUUAAGGAAUGCGACUUCGGUCAAAUGACUUUUGAACUUAGUGGCGGACGGGUGAGUAACGCGUGAGCAACCUGCCUUUCAGAGGGGGAUAACAUUUGGAAACAGAUGCUAAUACCGCAUAAGAUUACAGUACCGCAUGAUACAGUGAUCAAAGGAGCAAUCCGCUGAAAGAUGGGCUCGCGUCCGAUUAGAUAGUUGGUGAGGUAACGGCUCACCAAGUCGACGAUCGGUAGCCGGACUGAGAGGUUGAACGGCCACAUUGGGACUGAGACACGGCCCAGACUCCUACGGGAGGCAGCAGUGGGGAAUAUUGCACAAUGGGCGAAAGCCUGAUGCAGCAACGCCGCGUGAGGGAAGACGGUUUUCGGAUUGUAAACCUCUGUUUUCGGUGACGAACAAAUGACGGUAACCGAGUAGGAAGCCACGGCUAACUACGUGCCAGCAGCCGCGGUAAUACGUAGGUGGCAAGCGUUAUCCGGAAUUACUGGGUGUAAAGGGAGCGCAGGCGGGAUAGCAAGUCAGCUGUGAAAACUAUGGGCUCAACCCAUAAACUGCAGUUGAAACUGUUAUUCUUGAGUGGAGUAGAGGCAAGCGGAAUUCCGAGUGUAGCGGUGAAAUGCGUAGAUAUUCGGAGGAACACCAGUGGCGAAGGCGGCUUGCUGGGCUCUAACUGACGCUGAGGCUCGAAAGUGUGGGGAGCAAACAGGAUUAGAUACCCUGGUAGUCCACACUGUAAACGAUGAUUGCUAGG